rnacentral:rRNA from 1 species
GUGUCAGCAGCCGCGGUAAUACAGAGGUGGCAAGCGUUGUUCGGAAUUACUGGGCGUAAAGGGCGCGUAGGCGGUCUUUUAAGUUCCGUGUGAAAUCCCUCGGCUCAACUGGGGAACGGCACGGGAAACUGGGAGGCUUGAGUUCGGGAGAGGGAAGCGGAAUUCCGGGUGUAGCGGUGAAAUGCGUAGAUAUCCGGAGGAACACCGGUGGCGAAGGCGGCUUCCUGGACCGACACUGACGCUGAGGCGCGAAAGCUAGGGGAGCAAACGGGAUUAGAUACCCUAGUAGUCC